rnacentral:rRNA from 1 species
UGGGGAAUAUUGGACAAUGGGCGAAAGCCUGAUCCAGCCAUGCCGCGUGUGUGAAGAAGGUCUUCGGAUUGUAAAGCACUUUAAGUUGGGAGGAAGGGCAUUAACCUAAUACGUUAGUGUUUUGACGUUACCGACAGAAUAAGCACCGGCUAACUCUGUGCCAGCAGCCGCGGUAAUACAGAGGGUGCAAGCGUUAAUCGGAAUUACUGGGCGUAAAGCGCGCGUAGGUGGUUGGUUAAGUUGGAUGUGAAAUCCCCGGGCUCAACCUGGGAACUGCAUUCAAAACUGACUGACUAGAGUAUGGUAGAGGGUGGUGGAAUUUCCUGUGUAGCGGUGAAAUGCGUAGAUAUAGGAAGGAACACCAGUGGCGAAGGCGACCACCUGGACUAAUACUGACACUGAGGUGCGAAAGCGUGGGGAGCAAACA